rnacentral:rRNA from 1 species
ACGAACGCUGGCGGCACGCUUAACACAUGCAAGUCGAACGAGAGAAGAGGAGCUUGCUUUUCUGAUCUAGUGGCGGACGGGUGAGUAACACGUGAGCAAUCUGCCUUUCAGAGGGGGAUACCGAUUGGAAACGAUCGUUAAUACCGCAUAACAUAAUUGAACCGCAUGAUUUGAUUAUCAAAGAUUUAUCGCUGAAAGAUGAGCUCGCGUCUGAUUAGCUAGUUGGUAAGGUAACGGCUUACCAAGGCGACGAUCAGUAGCCGGACUGAGAGGUUGAUCGGCCACAUUGGGACUGAGACACGGCCCAGACUCCUACGGGAGGCAGCAGUGGGGAAUAUUGCACAAUGGAGGAAACUCUGAUGCAGCGAUGCCGCGUGAGGGAAGAAGGUUUUAGGAUUGUAAACCUCUGUCUUCAGGGACGAAAAAUGACGGUACCUGAGGAGGAAGCUCCGGCUAACUACGUGCCAGCAGCCGCGGUAAUACGUAGGGAGCGAGCGUUGUCCGGAAUUACUGGGUGUAAAGGGAGCGUAGGCGGGAUCGCAAGUCAGAUGUGAAAACUAUGGGCUUAACCCAUAAACUGCAUUUGAAACUGUGGUUCUUGAGUGAAGUAGAGGUAAGCGGAAUUCCUAGUGUAGCGGUGAAAUGCGUAGAUAUUAGGAGGAACAUCAGUGGCGAAGGCGGCUUACUGGGCUUUAACUGACGCUGAGGCUCGAAAGCGUGGGGAGCAAACAGGAUUAGAUACCCUGGUAGUCCACACUGUAAACGAUGAUUACUAGGUGUUGGAGGAUUGACCCCUUCCGUGCCGCAGCAAACGCAAUAAGUAAUCCACCUGGGGAGUACGACCGCAAGGUUGAAACUCAAAGGAAUUGACGGGGGCCCGCACAAGCAGUGGAGUAUGUGGAUUAAUUCGAAGCAACGCGAAGAACCUUACCAGGUCUUGACAUCGUAUGCAUAGCUCAGAGAUGAGUGAAAUCUCUUCGGAGACAUAUAGACAGGUGGUGCAUGGUUGUCGUCAGCUCGUGUCGUGAGAUGUUGGGUUAAGUCCCGCAACGAGCGCAACCCUUACUGUUAGUUGCUACGCAAGAGCACUCUAGCAGGACUGCCGUUGACAAAACGGAGGAAGGUGGGGAUGACGUCAAAUCAUCAUGCCCCUUAUGACCUGGGCCUCACACGUACUACAAUGGCUGUCAACAGAGGGAAGCAAAGCCGCGAGGUGGAGCAAACCCCUAAAAGCAGUCUUAGUUCGGAUUGUAGGCUGCAACCCGCCUACAUGAAGUCGGAAUUGCUAGUAAUCGCAGAUCAGCAUGCUGCGGUGAAUACGUUCCCGGGCCUUGUACACACCGCCCGUCACGCCAUGGGAGUCGGUAACACCCGAAGCCUGUAGUCUAACCGCAAGGAGGACGCAGUCGAAGGUGGGAUUGAUGACUGGGGUG